CCUACGGGAGGCAGCAGUGAGGAAUAUUGGUCAAUGGUCGGGAGACUGAACCAGCCAAGCCGCGUGAGGGAGGAAGGUACAGAGUAUCGUAAACCUCUUUUGUCAGGGAACAAAGGCGGGGACGUGUCCCCGGAUGAGUGUACCUGAAGAAAAAGCAUCGGCUAACUCCGUGCCAGCAGCCGCGGUAAUACGGAGGAUGCGAGCGUUAUCCGGAUUUAUUGGGUUUAAAGGGUGCGCAGGCGGUCUGUUAAGUCUGGAGGGAAAGCCCGGGGCCCAACCCCGGGACUGCUUUGGAAACUGUGUAACUGGAGUACAGGAGGGGCAGGCGGAAUUCCUGGUGUAGCGGUGAAAUGCGUAGAUAUCAGGAGGAACACCGGCGGCGAAGGCGGCCUGCUGGACUGAAACUGACGUUGAGGCUCGAAAGCGUGGGGAGCAAACAGGAUUAGAUACCCUUGUAGUC
rnacentral:rRNA from 1 species